AGGUUGAAGAAGCUCAACCGACUUCAAAUGUUGACAGGACUGACAAUGAUGAUUCAAAGUAUAGGGGUGAUGCUCAACCACCAGAUUUUUAUAAUGAUGGCUCAGAAUAUCUGGUAUGUCGGCUUGUAGUAAAACACUAAUUACAGCUUUGAAUUUCUAACAUUUUCAUGCCGUCUAAAAUAGGGCGACGCGACUUCAGAUCUUGAUAAUGAUGUCCUGGACAAUAGGGAAACACAUAUAGAUCUUGUCCCGAGUAGUGAUGACGAAAUGGAUAAUUUAACAGGAACUCCUGAUUAUAUACGCACAGAAAGUUUCACACUGAAUAUGGACGCUUUGCGAAGAAAUUGGGAGAUGAAGUCAACAGAAGAUGGAGCUGAAUUAACGGUAAUUUAAAGGCACUUAAAUCUUCUAUUACAAGGGUGAAUGUCCGAAACGUCCAUUGAAGAGCAGAAAACCAACAAGUUGCAAGUU
rnacentral:lncRNA from 1 species